GUUGAACGCUGGCGGCAGGCCUAACACAUGCAAGUCGAGCGAGCGACGGGGGGGUGCGGAAGGUAUGGGGAUCUGCCCGAUAGCGGGCGAUAACUGGUGGAAACGAUAGCUAAUCCCGCAUUCUAUCGGCUUAACCCAGAUGGGAUUAGCUAGUUGGUGAGGUAAUGGCUCACCAAGGGGACGAUCCCUAGCUGGUCUGAGAGGAUGAUACGCCACACUGGGACUGAGACACGGCCCAGACUCCUACGGGAGGCAGCAGUGGGGAAUAUUCCACAAUGGGCGCAAGUCUGAUGCAGCCACGCCGCGUGUAUGAAGAAGGCCCUAGGGUUGUAAAGCACUUUUAGUCGGGAGGCGUUACCGACAGAAGAAGCACCGGCUAACUCCGUGCCAGCAGCCGCGGUAAUAC
rnacentral:rRNA from 1 species